GGCUCAGAACGAACGUUGGCGGCGUGGAUUACGCAUGCAAGUCGAACGAAUCCCAGGGGGCAACUCCUGGGGGAAGUGGCGAAAGGGGCAGUAAGGCGUGGGUAACCUACCCUGGGGACUGGGAUAGCCUUCCUAACGGAAGGGUAAUACCAGGCGAUUUGACGAGGGGGCAUCCCUUUGUCAGGAAAUGAAUUUCGCCUCGGGAGGGGCUCACGUGAUAUUAGCUAGUUGGUGAGGUAACGGCUCACCAAGGCGAAGAUGUCUAGCGGGUGUGAGAGCACGACCCGCGCCACUGGCACUGAGACACUGGCCAGACACCUACGGGUGGCUGCAGUCGAGGAUCUUCGGCAAUGGGCGCAAGCCUGACCGAGCGACGCCGCGUGUGCGAUGAAGGCCUUCGGGUUGUAAAGCACUGUCGAGGGGGAGGAAGGCGCAAGCUUGACCUAUCCCUGGAGGAAGCACGGGCUAAGUUCGUGCCAGCAGCCGCGGUAAGACGAACCGUGCGAACGUUGUUCGGAAUCACUGGGCUUAAAGGGCGCGUAGGCGGGCAUUCAAGUCCGGGGUGAAAGCCCCCAGCUUAACUGGGGAAGUGCCUUGGAAACUGGAUGUCUUGAGGGAGGUAGGGGUCUGUGGAACUUCGGGUGGAGCGGUGAAAUGCGUUGAUAUCCGAAGGAACGCCGGUGGCGAAAGCGACGGACUGGACCUUUUCUGACGCUGAGGCGCGAAAGCCAGGGGAGCAAACGGGAUUAGAUACCCCGGUAGUCCUGGCCCUAAACGAUGAGAACUAGGUAGCGGACUUACAUGGGUUCGCUGCCGAAGCAAAAGUGGUAAGUUCUCCGCCUGGGGGAGUAUGGUCGCAAGGCUG
rnacentral:rRNA from 1 species